UACGAAGGGGGGCGAGCGUUGUUCGGAUUUACUGGGCGUAAAGGGCGCGUAGGCGGCCCUUCUAGUCGCGUGUGAAAGCCCCGGGCUCAACCUGGGGAAUUGCGCGCGAAACGGGGGGGGCUUGAGUUCGGGAGAGGAGCGUGGAAUUCCCAGUGUAGAGGUGAAAUUCGUAGAUAUUGGGAAGAACACCGGUGGCGAAGGCGGCGCUCUGGACCGAGACUGACGCUGAGGCGCGGAAAGCGUGGGGAGCAAACAGG
rnacentral:rRNA from 1 species